AUUCUGCUUCCCCUACCUGUAGUAUCUGAUUUAGAACCAAAUCUCCUUAUGGUUUUACUUCUGCAGGAGUCUUGCAGAAGUGAACUCCCAGGAAUGAACUAAGUUACCAAACAGAUACAAAGAAGGAAGUAUAAGAAAAGUUGGAGGCAGCAGCUUACUUCCCUGUCUCAAGAAAAAUGCUAACCCCUACAUAAGGACUGGUCUUCACUAACUGCACAGUGGUCAUUUGCUGAGGAUUGAGAGCCCCUGUGCGUUUGGUGACGAUUUUAACAAAGAGACCCAGGACAGGAGAUUGAAAGGUGCCUGUUGUCCCAGACAUUCAAGGUCUGAUUGUGGUUGAAUGUUUCUUGAUUUUCUGUUUGUAAUCCAAAGUGUUAUCAUAGUCAUAGCCUCAUAAAACAUUGCUGA
rnacentral:lncRNA from 1 species